rnacentral:rRNA from 1 species
CUACGGGUUGCAGCAGUGAGGAAUUUUGCGCAAUGGGGGAAACCCUGACGCAGCAACGCCGCGUGAGCGAAGAAGGCCCUCGGGUCGUAAAGCUCUGUCAAGUGGGAGAAAAAUCUUUUAAUCAAUAGUUAAAAGACUUGAUGGUACCACUGGAGGAAGCACCGGCUAACUCCGUGCCAGCAGCCGCGGUAAUACGGAGGGUGCAAGCGUUGUUCGGAAUUACUGGGCGUAAAGAGCGUGUAGGCGGUUUGGCAAGUCAGAUGUGAAAGCCCCGGGCUUAACCUGGGAAGUGCAUUUGAAACUGCUUGACUAGAGUAUGGGAGAGGAGAUUGGAAUUCCUGGUGUAGAGGUGAAAUUCGUAGAUAUCAGGAGGAACACCCGUGGCGAAGGCGAUUCUCUGGACCAAUACUGACGCUGAGACGCGAAAGCGUGGGGAGCAAACAGGAUUAGAUACCCCCGUAGUC